rnacentral:rRNA from 1 species
UACGUAGGGGGCAAGCGUUGUCCGGAUUUAUUGGGCGUAAAGAGCGUGUAGGCGGCUAGGUAGGUCCGUUGUGAAAACUCGAGGCUCAACCUCGAGACGCCGAUGGAAACCAUCUAACUAGAGUCCGGAAGAGGAGAGUGGAAUUCCUGGUGUAGCGGUGAAAUGCGCAGAUAUCAGGAAGAACACCCGUGGCUAAGGCGGCUCUCUAGUACGGUACUGACGCUGAGACGCGAAAGCGUGGGGAGCGAACAGG